GACGAACGCUGGCGGCGUGCUUAACACAUGCAAGUCGAACGGAAAGGCCCUGCUUUUGUGGGGUGCUCGAGUGGCGAACGGGUGAGUAACACGUGAGUAACCUGCCCUUGACUUUGGGAUAACUUCAGGAAACUGGGGCUAAUACCGGAUAGGAGCUCCUGCUGCAUGGUGGGGGUUGGAAAGUUUCGGCGGUUGGGGAUGGACUCGCGGCUUAUCAGCUUGUUGGUGGGGUAGUGGCUUACCAAGGCUUUGACGGGUAGCCGGCCUGAGAGGGUGACCGGCCACAUUGGGACUGAGAUACGGCCCAGACUCCUACGGGAGGCAGCAGUGGGGAAUAUUGCACAAUGGGCGGAAGCCUGAUGCAGCAACGCCGCGUGCGGGAUGACGGCCUCCGGGUUGUAAACCGCUUUCGCCUGUGACGAAGCGUGAGUGACGGUAAUGGGUAAAGAAGCGCCGGCUAACUACGU
rnacentral:rRNA from 1 species